rnacentral:misc_RNA from 1 species
AUAAAAACACAUCAACAAUAGAAAACCAUACCCACCUUCCCUCCCUUAUUUAAGUACUGUGGGAUGAAGGCUUUGAAGAUAAGGUACAUACUUAAUGAGAGUUGAAAUUCUUAUAUCAUACUAAGAAAUCACUAACAUAAUUCAAUAUCUAUGAGGAAUAUAAACAACUAAGGGUGGCAGAUGUGUGAGUAGCUAUCAAAUCAUUAUUCUGUUAAACAGAUGAUGCACAAAGGCAUAAGAAGUGUCUGAAUUUGGUCUAGAAAAAGGGAUGAUUCAAUCCAUCCGAACCGGCAAAACGACAAGGAAUUAUGACAUUCCACUCAUAUCUUUCAAAUUAUACAGUGAGGAAGGGGGACCAGACCAGUAGUGUACAUGUCCACCAAACUGGCCAUGAAUAGCCUCUAGCAUUCUCGGAUUUCUUUUAAGAUGUGUAGAUAUUAAGCAAGCUAUAUAUUUUUCAUCUUAUCUAAUCAAGAUUAGGAAACUAAUAAUCUCAAAUAAUUGAUUGUUAAUAUAAAG